CGGCAAUGUAUGGGAACCAGAGCAGGGAACCAGUCUUGAAGGCAAAGAAAAUUCCGCCAAGUAAACAACAAAGAAAGGAAUUUGGGAUGUUGUCAGUUGUAUACAUUAUGUGGGCCGAUGACUGCAAGAAGCAAGGAAUGUGGAGCUAAUGCAUGCUGGUAAGGAUGGAAAGGUCUUGUGUUUAUUGGUUAUGCCUGAGACACCAGUCACAGUUGUACCUUAUUUUAGGUAAUAUGUUGUGAUGAAGAUUGUUGAAAGAGAUUAUCAACAUAGAACCAACCCAUAUGAAUGUGCAAGUCAGGACUUGUACAACACCUGAGUACCCAAAUGACUGUUGAACUAAUUGGUGAACAAGAAAAGAUGUCAGAGAGGGGAAUCCAAUACAGAUGUCAUGAUCAAGAAAAUGUACUGUUAUCAAUGAUAUGAUCAAGAAUUUGUAAACUUGUAGCGAUUUAGAAUAUCUUAUUUGUAAUAUAACUCUUCAAUACUUAAUUGUUUACACAUUAUCAUCUUAUCUGUAUAUUAAUCACCCCCUCUUAUAUAACCCCCUGCUGAUCGUAAUGACCUGUGUAUUGAUUCCUGAUCUUAAGGAUCUCAUAAUGUGCUCCUGAUCGUCAGGAGCGGAUCUUGAGUAUAUCUAUAGUGCGACAGAAUUUUAGAAUAAGAUAGGAAGAUGGAAAUAAGGAAGACUUAGUAGAUAGAACUGUUAGAGAUAGAUAAAGUUACUUACUUACUUGGAAUAUUACCUAAUUUUUCUUGGAUUUAUAUGUACAUGUGAUUAUUUUACUUGGAUUUUAAUUUUAGUGAAUUAUUUUUCCUAAAUGUUUUUAUUUGUGAUGUGCUGUGUAAAUAAACUGUAGACUAGAAUUUUGGCAUCUAUUUUCAAGAUAUGAGGAAGAAGGAUAAAUUGAUUUAUUCAUGCAAACUGACAUUAUGAAAUAUGUUGCAAGACCGCCCGGUGCGGCGCUACAAACUAACUAGGAAAUAUCUUGGAGAUUUACAGAUGAACAUGCAAGCAUUCAUAGUUUUGAAUGUUAUUCAGCCAGAGAGUUUUUGCACAAAUUCAAUUUUCAGUACAGUAAUUUAAACUGGAUGUGUUAUUUUCAAUACAGUUAUGUAAAAUGAUAUGUUACUUAUCAUGAUUGUCAGUUUCUCAACAGGACAUAACUGUAGUUUAUUUAUAUGCAGAUUUGCAGAACAAAACACACAGACCUUUUUUUCUCUUUGUGCAUCAUACACUUGUAAACGUUUUACACCACAAUGGUUAAAUAUUUUACAUUUAUGACGUGUAAAUCGAGCACACAAUGAAAAUGCGUGAAGAUGGAUACAUAUGCAAACAUGCAUCUACCAUAACCUAUUACAUAUUUUCAAAGGUGUGUGAAGUCGAGCACAUACAUGAAAAUGUGUGAAGCUGGACACAUACACAAAUACACAUGCAUCUGCCACAACCUAUUACAUAUUUUCCAAGGCGUGUGAAGUCGAGCACAUACAUGAAAAUGUGUGAAGCUGGACACAUAUGCAAAUACACGAACAUUUACCACAGACAUAAAAACGUAAUCUAAACUAAAUCAAGCACAGACAGGCUCGCUGGGUGAAGCUGAACUCGUACAUGAUCUCAUGCAUUUUGCAAACUGCAUCCUCACAUCUAUUCUAAUAGAUUUUUCACCAUAUUUUGUGUUUGUGAAUAUGUAAAAUGCAUCAUUUUGCAUUACAAGUUGAAGAUGUUAUUAGCCUGUAUAU